rnacentral:rRNA from 1 species
UACGGAGGGUGCAAGCGUUAUCCGGAUUCACUGGGUUUAAAGGGUGCGUAGGCGGAAUGAUAAGUCAGUGGUGAAAGCCCCGAGCUCAACUUGGGAAUUGCCAUUGAUACUGUUGUUCUUGAGUUCGGUUGAGGUAGGCGGAAUGUUGCAUGUAGCGGUGAAAUGCUUAGAUAUGCAACAGAACACCGAUUGCGAAGGCAGCUUACCAAGCCGACACUGACGCUGAUGCACGAAAGCGUGGGGAGCGAACAGG